GCAUCGAUGAAGAACGCAGCGAAAUGCGAUAAGUAAUGUGAAUUGCAGAAUUCAGUGAAUCAUCGAAUCUUUGAACGCACAUUGCGCCCUUUGGCAUUCCGAAGGGCAUGCCUGUUCGAGCGUCAUUACACCAAUCAAGCCUCGCUUGGUAUUGGGCGACGGGGUCGACUUUCGACGCCCGCGCCUUAAUAACUUUCCGGCGGGACGGACCGUAUCUCAGCGUUGUGGUAAAAAGCCGCUGGCGAGACGGGACGGCCGUGCCGUAACCCCCCCCCAUUUUCUUAAGGUUGACCUCGGAUCAGGUAGGGAUACCCGCUGAACUUAAGCAUAUCAAUAAGCGGAGGA
rnacentral:rRNA from 1 species